AUCAACUAUUCACUCAUCUAACCCAUUUAAUUUAAUGGGUCAUGGGUUAACCCAAAGCAUUUAAUAAAUGGGUUGGGUUGACCUAUGACCCAUUAACAGUCAACCCAUUAGGGUUAUGGAU
rnacentral:pre_miRNA from 1 species